CAAACCUUGAGCCAUUUAGAAGAGGAAGAAGCCAAAAUCUGUGCCAGAGGUUUGACUGCUGGGUUUACUCAUGGCUUCAGGUCAGGAUGGGCACUGCUAGAUAAUGAAGGCAAGAUCGGUUUCGUGGGGCUUGCUCUAUUGGG